CUCCUAAAUGCGCUGGGCCGCACGCGCAAUACACUGACUUCGACAGCAAGCUUUUGCAUGCAGCCUGACCCGAAGGGGCCGGGGAAUCUCAGAGCCGAAGUCGUGCUGGGGAUUGAUGCUUGCAAUUAUUCUCCAUGAACAAGGAAUGCCUUGUAGGCGCGUUUCAUCAGAACGCACCGAAUACGUCCCUGGUUCUUGUACACACCGCCCGUCGUUGCCUGUAAUGGGUUGUGAGUAGAGCCAUUUGGAGACGUCACGGACCGGGUUCGCCCUGUUCGUUCGUCAAAAUUUGGCAAUACUCGCUACCUAGAAGAGGCAAAAGUCGUAACA
rnacentral:rRNA from 1 species